rnacentral:lncRNA from 1 species
AUCUAUGAUGCGACAAAUUGUAUUUGCUACAUACUCUGAUCUUUGUUCUCUUUAAAGAUGAUUGAUAAGGCCUCUCAACCAUCCAUAGUGUCCCAUACUACAGUAGGAAGACCACCCAGUUAUUUGAUCAUUAUUGAGGCCUUCAUAACUUUCUUCGAAUAAAACAUUUGAAACACCAUGAGGAGUUGUUCCUACCUCUAGUAAAAUCACCAAACAU